GAAGGCUUAAGGUUUUUAAAAUGGUAAAGUUCGGAAAGAAACGGUGAAAAAAAAUAUGGCGGGCUAAUGACGGUGUAGUAUGAAUAAGCACCGGCUAUAUACGUGCCAGCAGCCGCGGUAAUAUGUAGGGGGCAAGCGUUAAUCGGAAUUUCUGGGGGUAAAGCGGGUGCAGGCGGUUAUAUAAGACAGAUGUGAAAUCCCCGGGAUCAACCUGGGAACUGCAUUUGUGACUGUAUCAGUAGAGUACGGCAGAGGGGGAUGGAAUUUCGGUCAUAGCAGUGAAAAGUGUAGAUAUAUGGAAGAACACCGCAGGUGAAGGCAAUGCCGGGUGCCUGUAUAUACGCUCAUGCACGAAAGCGUGGGGAGCUAACAGGAUUAGAUACCCCGGUAUUGCACACCCCAAAAGAUAUCAAUAUGGUUGCAGGGUCUACAC
rnacentral:rRNA from 1 species